UUCAGAUAACUUGCAGAUGUCACCACAUUGGUUUUUAUUACAUUGAAAAAAAUAUUUAUAUUUUACAUACAUUUCCAGGCAUUUUUACCAUCAAGUUCAUGUAAUGUUACGGGAUUUCAACAAUUACCCCAGCAUCGUUCCAGCUAAGUUCUUCAUAUCAGUUUUAUUUUUUCUUCCUGUUCUUGGCGAAUAUAAUGUGUUUAAUUGAAUGCCAGAAGAACAGUGUUAAUGUAUUUGUUGCUGCACGUCUUAAAUACAAUGAUAUUAUGGUAAUUAGCAGCUGUAAAUCUACAGGCAAAUGCUGACAUUUAAAGGAGUGUCAACAACAACACCAUCAACUCUCCCACCACACUGCACAGCAACAACAACAACAACAAC